AGCUCAGUGGUAGAGUGUGUGCUUAGCACGCACGAGGUCCUGGGUUCAGUCCCCAG
rnacentral:tRNA from 1 species